CCUACGGGGUGCAGCAGUGGGGAAUAUUGCGCAAUGGGCGAAAGCCUGACGCAGCGACGCCGCGUGAGGGAUGAAGGUCUUCGGAUCGUAAACCUCUGUCAGCAGGGAAGAACGGUCACUGUGCUAAUCCGCCGUGAAUUGACGGUACCUGAAAAGGAAGCACCGGCUAACUCCGUGCCAGCAGCCGCGGUAAUACGGAGGGUGCGAGCGUUAAUCGGAAUUACUGGGCGUAAAGCGCUCGUAGGCGGUGUGUCAAGUCAAGGGUGAAAUCCCCGCGCUCAACGUGGGAACUGCAUUUGAAACUGGCAAACUGGAGUGUGUGAGAGGAUAGUGGAAUUCCAGGUGUAGGAGUGAAAUCCGUAGAUAUCUGGAGGAACAUCAGUGGCGAAGGCGACUAUCUGGCACAUAACUGACGCUGAGGAGCGAAAGCGUGGGUAGCAAACAGGAUUAGAUACCCCUGUAGUC
rnacentral:rRNA from 1 species